UACGUAGGUGGCAAGCGUUGUCAGGCAUUAUUGGGCGUAAAGCGCGCGCAGGUGGUUCUUUAAGUCUGAUGUGAAAGCCCACGGCUCCACCGUGGAGGGUCAUUGGAAACUGGGGAACUUGAGUGCAGAAGAGGAAAGUGGAAUUCCAAGUGUAGCGGUGAAAUGCGUAGAGAUUUGGAGGAACACCAGUGGCGAAGGCGACGUUCUGGUCUGUAACUGAUGCUGAGGCGCGAAAGCGUGGCGAGCAAACAGG
rnacentral:misc_RNA from 1 species